rnacentral:rRNA from 1 species
GCGAGGCCGAAAGGCGUAGUCGAUGGGAAACGGGUUAAUAUUCCCGUACUUCUUACAAUUGCGAUGGGGGGACGGAGAAGGCUAGGUGGGCCUGGCGACGGUUGUCCAGGUUCAAGUGCGUAGGCUUGAGAGUUAGGUAAAUCCGGCUCUCUUUAAGGCUGAGACACGACGUCGAGCAUCUACGGAUGUGAAGUCAUUGAUGCCAUGCUUCCAGGAAAAGCCUCUAAGCUUCAGAUUGUAAGGAAUCGUACCCCAAACCGACACAGGUGGUCGGGUAGAGAAUACCAAGGCGCUUGAGAGAACUCGGGUGAAG